rnacentral:rRNA from 1 species
CACGUAGGGCGCGAGCGUUGUCCGGAAUUAUUGGGCGUAAAGAGCUCGUAGGCGGUGUGUCGCGUCGGCCGUGAAAACCUGUGGCUUAACUAUGGGCUUGCGGUCGAUACGGGCAUCACUGGAGUUCGGCAGGGGAGACUGGAAUUCCUGGUGUAGCGGUGAAAUGCGCAGAUAUCAGGAGGAACACCGGUGGCGAAGGCGGGUCUCUGGGCCGAUACUGACGCUGAGGAGCGAAAGCGUGGGGAGCGAACAGG